AGGGUUCUGGCCUUGGGGACGCUUCAAAGAGGGGAACGCCAAGGAAGAAAUCAGAGUCGACAGAAACAAGCCGACCGAAGAAAAAGGUGAAAGUGGGGACUCGAAAGAUGUCCGAGAGCUCGGUGGCUUGUGAGAAGGCAAACCGAGGGCCGUUCGGGGCGGGGGUUGCUCCCCAAGGCGAGGCUUGGCAAGUGCGAGAGGGAAAGGGGGAGUCAGAUCCUCCUCUGAUGGCCUCUCGGGGAGACCCUAGACCCGCCGGAAGUCGAUGUGAGACUUGUGCCGCAUCCGGUCUC
rnacentral:lncRNA from 1 species